ensembl:lncRNA
CACAUUGGAAGACCCAGUUGCUUCAAGUCAACAUUCAGAAGGGAAAUUUCCAUCAUCUCAUAGGAGAUCUUCAAGGGAAAUCCACAACCUAAAGUAUUUGGGUUGGAAAUACAACCCUUGUUUGUGUCACUGAUUACAACGCAGGCUUUCAAAGAAAGAUGAGUCUGAAGACAGAGAGAAUCUACUCAUCAGCUAAUUAACUCCCAAAUCCUCAAGUGUUGACAGCUCUCUUCAAAGUCCUGGCUUUUCUAAAACAGGAAUAGCCCAGGGCCACCCCAGAUUCACUCGGCACGGCCCGCCCCCAGCAAAAGCAACCUGGGCCCUGGGGACGGAUGAGGAUGGACCCAUCGAGAGAGGCUUGCUGGACAUUUGGCCUAGAGGUUGAUAAGCAGUCAAGCUUCUGCAAGGAACUGAUGGUGUCCUCAACAGUGGUUGAAUCCUUUCUGACUAAACCCAGGAUGUCCAAUGAGUCACCAAAUCCUGUCAACUCUACCUCCUAAAUCUCGCUUAAAUCCAUUGACUCCUUCACAUCCUCAUUGCUUUGUCUCCGCUUUAGAGCACUCGGGCUUUGCAUUUGAAUUAAUGAAGCAGCCUCCUAACUGGUCUGCCAAGAAUGGUUCACGGAGGCCUUUGAUUCUCUCCAGCCCCACUCCUGGCCUCGCCCCCUCGGUGCUCCAGGGCACACUGCACACCUGCUGUUCCCUCUGCCUGGAACACGCUCCCUGCCCAGCCCUCCUCAGCCUUCAGGGACCUGCUUAAACAGCCAUUUCUACAGUGAUGACUACACUACCACAGCCUGUCUGUAGCCCCCUCCCAGGCCCUAAGCAUCGCGAUGACAGGCACGCCUUCCUUACUGGUCCCCACGGCAGCCUGUUCAACACGCUGUUCAGUGUGUGUGUGUGUGUUCUCAUUUAAUUUGCACGAAUGCCCUAGAACACACCUAGGACCACGCCUAUUCAACAGAUGAAGAAACCGAAGUUUCAAGACGUGAAAUAACUCACCUUUGGUCACCCAGCUCGGAGAGAGGCAGAAUCUAUGUUUUAAUCCAGGCCUACGAGUUUAGCUUCUACAAGAAGCUGCCCCUGGAAUACUCUGUUCACUCCAUAAUUAAACAAGUCAGGGGUCAAAUAGUUUAGUUAAUGAGGUUCUGAGUCAGUAAUGAAGGGAAUCAAAAGGUGCCAGCUCCCCUCAAAUUCAAAUUCAAGCAAACCUGUGACUUCUCAGAGGCAGGUGUGCAGCACCCCCCUGGGAGCAG